AGUAAAAUUGCUGGGUCACAUGAUUAUCAAAUUGUUCCCUAGAAAGGUUGUAUAAUUUUGCAUUCCCACUAGCAAU
rnacentral:miRNA from 1 species